rnacentral:tRNA from 1 species
UCCCUAAUAGCUCAGUUGGUAAGAAUCUGUCUGCAAUGCAGGAGACCCCGGUUCAAUUCCUGGAUUGGGAA